rnacentral:rRNA from 1 species
UGGGGGAUAUUGCACAAUGGGCGAAAGCCUGAUGCAGCGACGCCGCGUGGGGGAUGAAGGCCUUCGGGUUGUAAACUUCUUUUGCUCUGAACAAGGCGCACCAUGGGGUGUGUUGAGUGUAGGGGUUGAUUAGCGCCGGCUAACUACGUGCCAGCAGCCGCGGUACUACGUAGGGCGCGAGCGUUGUCCGGAAUUAUUGGGCGUAAGGGCUUGUAGGUGGCUGGUUGCGUCUGUCGUGAAAGCUCAUGGCUUAACUGUGGGUUUGCGGUGGGUACGGGCUGGCUUGAGUGCAGUAGGGGAGGCUGGAAUUCCUGGUGUAGCGGUGGAAUGCGCAGAUAUCAGGAGGAAUACCGGUGGCGAAGGCGGGUCUCUGGGCUGUUACUGACACUGAGGAGCGAAAGCAUGGGGAGCGAACAGG